GGGAUGGGGGAGCCUGGUGGGAUGCUGUCUGUGGGGUUGCACAGAGUCGGACACGACUGAAGCGACUUAGCAGCAGCAGUAGCAGGUUUUAUGUGCAGCUCAUUUGUCCUCACAACUUGGUGCAUGUAGAGGAUGGGAAGGUGCUGGCUGGCAUUCAUAAGCAUAAACAUUAAUUCAUAAACAGCGUUUUCAUGGUGAUUGUCCCAGACCCCACAGUCCACAUGUACUGAUGGGUGGAGGGACCCACAGCUGAUCAGUGGACAUCUUCAUUUCAGAACCGUCUGAAACUAUAUUUCCUGGGCCAGGAUUAGCUUUGGAUCCAGACACCUUCUGAGGUAAAGAGUUCACUAGUAAUUUUUAAACUAGCCCUCAAACUGGCAUACACUUAAAUGCACACUUAAGCUAACAGUAGACUCUAGGCUAAAAGCUUUACAUGAAUCAUUUAUUUUAGCCCUCCCAACAAAUUUAAUGGAAAGUAAUUAUUACUGACUUCAUGUCCAAAAGAAAGAAAUUAAGACCCAAAGAGGUUGUGUAACUUGCCCAAGUAUCAAGAAACUGACAGACCAGGGAAGGUGAUCUCAGGUGUCCAAAGUAUGUCCUCUUAAAUGAUACCCAGCCUUCUGUAUUUUUCCCUCUUUUUCUUCCAGGCCCCAGUACUCAGUUGCAAUUUGCUUCAGAGGUGUCUGAAUUUCAGUUGCUUUCUUGGUCUCAGUGUUUGGUAGGUCUGGGCUGGUGUGGAUGCGUCUAAUGGACUGACAUAGAUAUGAAGUUCAUGGAACUCAUGUUUGCCCUCUUGUAGGGUGGUGAUGUGAAUUGGGGAAUUUGCAUCUCCCUCAGAAAGAGCAGGAUUGGCUCAGAUGAACUGUUGACUUCGGAAGGCCUUCUAGAGCACCUUUGGAAUCAAAGCUUCCUCCAAGUUCUCAGAGUUGACGACGCAGCCAGGCAGUUUUCCCUCAGGUACCUGCCGCCAGAGCUGAGGCUGGGAUCAGCUGGAGUCUCACUCCGUCACGUGGCGGGUGCCUGGCAGGAGACUCAGAGGCUUGUUGGCUGGAACACCCGGGACACCGUGUGCAUCUCUCUCUGACUCUCUGUGGUCUCUCCAGCAGGGCGACCUC
rnacentral:lncRNA from 1 species